rnacentral:sRNA from 1 species
CUCUAGCCCCGAUCGCAACGGCAUCCUUUUAUGAAGCUUUAGCGGAAUAAAAGAUAUAGUGGAGAGCGGGAAACAGC